rnacentral:rRNA from 1 species
UGCCGCGUGAGUGAAGAAGGCCUUCGGGUUGUAAAGCUCUUUCGGCUGGGAAGAAAUCGCACAGGCUAAUACUCUGUGUGGAUGACGGUACCAGCACAAGAAGCACCGGCUAACUACGUGCCAGCAGCCGCGGUAAUACGUAGGGUGCGAGCGUUAAUCGGAAUUACUGGGCGUAAAGCGUGCGCAGGCGGUUGUGCAAGACAGAUGUGAAAUCCCCGGGCUCAACCUGGGAACUGCAUUUGUGACUGCACGACUAGAGUACGGCAGAGGGGGGUAGAAUUCCACGUGUAGCAGUGAAAUGCGUAGAGAUGUGGAGGAAUACCGAUGGCGAAGGCAGCCCCCUGGGCCGAUACUGACGCUCAUGCACGAAAGCGUGGGGAGCAAACAGGAUUAGAUACCCUGGUAGUCCACGCCCUAAACGAUGUCAACUAGUUGUUGGUAGGGUUAAACCUAUUAGUAACGUAGCUAACGCGUGAAGUUGACCGCCUGGGGAGUACGGUCGCAAGAUUAAAACUCAAAUGAAUUG